CCUUCCUCCGGGCUGGGCCGCCGCCGGGUCCCCCGCCCGGCCCUGCAUCCCUGAGGGGGGCGCGCCUGUCCAGACGGCGCUUUUCCGUCCCGCCUUUCGCCACCCACGGUGAGGAGAGAAGCCCGAACGGCACCCCUCCCCAGAAGUGGGACACUCCCUUGCCCUAAAUAUUUGAGGCGGCGCUAGUCCCCGCCCCGCGGCGUGGGUGCGGGGGGAAGAGGAAGGUGGUGACAGGACCACUUUGGAGAUGGGUGCUGCCUUACCUGGGGGGACGCAGGCCAGCGCCGGAGGAUGCUCUUAGCAUGCCCGCCCCCUCCUCGUCUCACUGAUCUGAGUCAGCUUGACAGCCCCCCCUGGAGAUUGCCGCGCUUAAACUCUCACUCACAUAUGGGGAAACUGAGUCAAAAACUUGCAGCAUCAGUAAUGGAGCUCCAGGCGGGUGGGCUCCGUUGCCCCCAAAGGAUCCAGAGCUGAAACCACUUGGAGAAGGCAGCAGGACCCCACCCCUUUUAAUGAUAGGGAGGGGAGGGCCGCAGGAAUGCCUAGAGCCCGAAGCUCUGAAGAGGGGUCUAGGAUCUGCCCACAGUCACGGUCUCUUGGAGUGAGGAAAGGAAGAAAAUGAGAUUGGAAUGGGAUGGCUCUGAUGGUGGGUCAGAAAGGUGACUGUGAAAUGGGGUUCCUCCCCAACCAAAAAAAAAAAAAAAACCCUCUAGUUCUUGAUAUCACUUGCUGGUUGCUAGACUGUUGCACCCCCAUCCCCCUUUUCAUGCAAGAAUUGUCUACACUAGCAAUCUCCCCUAGCAAUCUCACUGCUCACUGACUGCUCCAGGUAUGUCUGACUGGGAGAGGCCAGGAGGCGAAGUCAGCCAGAAUGGCAUUCUUGUGUGGCACCAGGAUAUAGGAUGCCAUUGGGAGAAAAGGACUUGAGCUUCCUGCCCACUCAGGAGCUAGCUUAGAACUUAGUUCUCAACUGCUGCUUGGGCUUUGCUGGUCCUGGCCUAGAACUAGGACCAUAAGAAAGAUGCAUUAACAAAAGAUAGGUGUGGGAAACAGGCAUUCACUGAAGGCUUGGGAACAACAGAGGGAAAUUAUAGCUCAGAAAGGAAAGAACUUCCAAAUAAAUUUCAGCAGUCAUUGUUUCUAGAAAUACAAUGCCACACCUCAUCAGAAAAAAAUUUCCAUUGUCCUGUGUCCAUUUUUUUCAUCUGGAUAUCCAACUGACCAGCACUCUUUAUUGAAAAGAUCACCACCACCACCACCACCCCCCUACACACACACACAUACUCUUCUGCAAUGCUAACAUUGUCGUAAAUCAAGUAGUCGAUAUGUGCAUAAGACUGUUCCUGAAUUCUCUAUUCUGUUCUGUUAGCCUAUUUUUCUCUCCCUGUGCCAUUAUCACAAUGUCUGGAUUACUGUGGGCUUAUAAGUCUAAAUGUCCCAUGAAAUAAGCCUACCCAUUUUGUUCUUUUAAGACUGCAUUGGCUAUUCUUGAUGUUUACACUUUCACAGAAAUUUUGGAAUCAGCAUACCUAUUUAUAUAUAUACACACAAACACACUAACACAAUCUUGCUGGGAUUUCAAUUGGUAUCACUUUGAACCUUUAGAUCAAUUGGAAUAAAAUUAACAUUUUCAAUAGUAAAACUUCUUAUCCAUGAACAUGGUAUGUCCCUUCAUUUAUUUUGGGUUUUUAAAAAAGUUAUCUCAGCAAUGUUUUGUAGUUUUCUACGUGGAGACCUUGCACAUCUUUUAUUAAAUUUAGCCCCGGGUGUUUUUUGUUGCUAUUAUGAAUGGCUUCUUUAUUUUAUUUUCUGUUUGUUGUCAGUACAGGGUUGUUGUUUUACAACAUGUCCACAAAUUCUUUGACACCUUUCCCAAGAAGUAGAGUCUAACACUCUUCCCCUCGGGAAGGGAUUAGUCUUAGCGAAUGGGUUUUAACAAAAAGAAUGUGACAGAAGUGAAUCUAUGUGACUUCUGAGGCUAGCUAGAUCAUAAAAUUAAUAGGGCUUCUACCUGGCUCCCUCUCUCAGGACUUUUGUCUUUGGAACACUAAGCCAUCAUAUGAGAACUCUCUCUUAGGCUGCCAUGCAUUGAAGAAGCCCAAACUAACCCACACAGAAAAAUCAUAUGCAGAGACCCUGAUACUAAGUAAAGAGGGAUUCCUAGCCAGUCCCCAGCUCUGCCAGCUCCUGCUGUUCCUGUUCCAUCUGCUAUCUGACUGUACCCACAUGAAAAAGGCUGAACUGUGCAGAUGAGCCCUUCUUGAAUCCAAAAUGCACAGAAACCAUGAGAGAUAAUAAAUGAUUAUUGUUAUUUUAAGCCACAAAGUUUUGGAGUGAUUUGUUACUUAGCAAUAUAGGUCUGAAACAUAGUAUAAAUAGAUUUUUAAAUAAUGCCCUUGUAUCCAGCAACAUUGCCAAACUCAUUUAUUAAUUCUAGUAAUUCAUCUGUAGAUUCUUUGGCUUUAAAAAAAAAUUUCUAUCUCAUCUGUAAAAAUGAGAGUUUUAGUUUUUUCUUUUCAAUUCUUAUAAGUUUUGUUUCUUUUUCUUGCCUUGUUGCACUGGCUAAUAUCACCAGUAUAAUUUUGGAAAGAAGUAAUAGUAGCAGACACUCUUGCCCCAUUCCUGAUUUCCUGAUCUCAGAAGGAAAGAUAUCAAUAGUUCACCAUUAGUUAUAAUGCUUGCUGUAGUUUUAUUUUUGUUUCAUUUUGCUUUGGUGUUUUUGUUUGUUUGUUUGUUUUUUGAGACAGAGUCUCACUCUGUCACCAGGCUGGAGUGCAGUGGUGUGAUCUUGGCUCACUGCAAACUCCGACUCCCUGGUUCAAGCGAUUCUCCUGCCUCAGCCUCCUGAGUAGCUGGGAUUACGGGUGUGUGCCACCAUGCCCAGCUAAUUUUUGUAUUUUUAGUAGAGACAGGGUUUUACCAUGUUGGCCAGGAUGGUCUUGAUCUCCUGACCUUGUGAUCCAGUUUUUUUUUGCAGACACCUCUGUUGCAGGUUGAAGAAAUCAGUCUUCACAGAAAUACUCUGGGUCAGGAAAUAAGACUGCUGUGGCCAUUUUACAGAUGAGAAGAGUGAGACCCAGUGAGGAAUGCACAUCCUGACAGUUAAUAGUAGAGCCAGGACUACACCUAAGUCUGGAAAUUCCACCUGGAGCACUUCCUACUGCCCAUAUUUCCACAGUGUUGGUCCCACUAACUCUGGCCAGAGGUGUAGAACAAUGACCACCAGAGUUUGAAGAUGCAUGUGCAAUGGGUCAGCUACAGGCAGCUAUUUGACUUCUCUGGAGCCUGCCAGCAGCAGCAACAAUCAACCCUGCCAAUCACGUAUAUCCACUUUCUUCCCUGAGGAGGGAGCCAGCACCACGGAGGUAUCUGAGAAGUCCAGCAGCAAAGUCCAACAAGGCCCCAAAGCUUGAUCUUGCCACUUCAUGUUGGCAGUUGAUCAGACAGGAAGCUGAUGACUCAGUUCCCCCAAAGAAACACCAGAGCCUCAUCUGUUGUCUUGAAGAUGGUAGUGGGGCUUCAGUUCUCCUCUCUUCCCUUUGAUUGCAAGGAAAAAUCUGUGAGAGAGGAAGCUCAGAUCUCAGCCAGUAGCCCAGCUGGUCCAGUCUGGAGACCCAGAGUAUCUGUUUGUUCAUCUUCCACCUCUCAGUUUCUGACAUCAUAAAUAGCUGAGAUAUCAGAAUAUAGAUGGGUUUUAAUAUGUUUUAUUAACCUUGAGGUAUGGUAAGGACAACACACCAGGAGAUGAUUGCCAUGGAAAAGACAGUUUGGUACUCCCAGGUGUCAGGAGGAGGGGACAUACCAUGCCAUUGGGGGCCAGUGGGGAAGCACCAGGUCAGUCAGGAGGCAGAGGGAGAGGGGAGAACUGUGGGCAAG
rnacentral:lncRNA from 1 species